rnacentral:SRP_RNA from 1 species
GCUGGGUGUGGUGGCGUGCACCUGUAGUCCUAGCUACUCGGGAGGCUGAGACAGGAGAAUUGCUUGAACCCAGGAGGUGGAGGUUGCAGUGAGCCGAGAUAACACCACUGCACUCCAGCCUGGGUGACAAAGUGAGACUCUGUCUCAA